rnacentral:misc_RNA from 1 species
CUGAGUUGUCUCGUCUCGAGACCCUCUCACACUUGUUUUGUUUACACAUUGCUUCGGCAGGGCGCGACAUCGUCGCCGCCGACUCUUACGGAGUGGGCGUGUCUCUGCCGAAGGUCCAACUCUUCAACUUUGAUUUAGUCUGUCUCUCACAAUCGAAAUA